rnacentral:lncRNA from 1 species
ACUACGCAACAAAAAUUAUUAAAAUAAUAAAAUUAAUGAACUUUGAAUGAUUUAUAAUUUAAUAAUAACAAAAAAAAAAAAAAAAAAAACAAAACAAAUAUCUCAUACCUGGUGGUGAGUGGUGUUAUGAACCUGAAUGGAGAUUUUGACUUUGCAUCAUUGUAUGGGCGUGUCUGUGUAGAUGGUGGUGGAGACGUGCGGGAUAUGGUAGCAGCAUGGCGGUAGUCAAGUUGUGGGUGAUGGCGGAGAGCGGACUGGUGGUGUCAAUGGAGGAUGAAUGUGGCAGCCAUGAUGCUAGUGUAUUUACAUGGUGAUGAUCGGAGAGAUGGUGGCAGCGGCUUGGACUCUGGGCAUUGACAAGUGACAACAAGGUGAAAGAGAGGUGAGAUGGAGGUAGUGAUUGCAUGAACAGAGAUGAAGGUGUGUGGCGGCGACGAUGGUAUUUACAGUAGCGGAUGAUGGAGACGGAGCCCCGAGAGAAGAGGAGGAGAGAGGGGAAAAGAGGACCCCCUUUCUCUUUUUAUAUCAUUCUUGUCUUUCCUAAAAAUAUUCUACCUUAUUUUCUUCCCAAACAAAUCUGCU